GACGAACGCUGGCGGCGUGCUUAACACAUGCAAGUCGAACGGAAAGGCCCUGCUUGCAGGGUGCUCGCGUGGCGAACGGGGGAGUAACACGUGUGUGUUCUGCCCUGCACUUCGGGAUAAGCCUGGGGAACUCUGGCUAAUACCGGGGAGGGGCCCUCUUGAUGGUGAGGGUUGGAAGGUAUUUUGGGUGUAGGAUGAGCUCGCGGCCUGUCAGCUUGUUGGUGGGGUGGUGACCUACAAACGCGGGGACUGGUAGCCGGCCUGAGAGGGUGGACGGCCACACUGGGACUGAGAUACGGCGCAGACUCCCACGGGGGGCAGAAGUGGGGAAUAUUGCGCAAUGGGGGCAAGCCUGAUGCAGCGACGCCGCGUGGGGGAUGACGGCCCUCGGGUUGUGAAAUCCUUUCGCUCGGGAGGAAGCGUUUUGUGACGGUAACUAGAUAAGGAGCCCCGGCUAACUACGUG
rnacentral:rRNA from 1 species